AUUGUCAAGCUACUAAGGGCUUACGGUGGAUGCCCUGGCACCAGGAGGCGAUGAAGGGCGUGACAAGCUGCGAUAAGCUCCAGGUAAUUGCUUAUAAAUGUUAAUCUGGAGAUUCCCGAAUCGGGCAACCGGGCAGAGUGAAUGCUUUGUCACCUCUGUUUGAAUUCAUAGGACAGAGGAGUGAACCAGGAGAAGUGAACCAUCUCAGUAUCCUGAGGAAAAGAAAGAAAAUUCGAUUUUCUCAGUAGCGGCGAGCGAAAAGGAAAAAGCCUAAACCAAAUAAAUGUUCAAGCCCAUAUGCGUUGUUUGUUUGGGGUUGUGGGGGUAACAUCGGAUGAAAAUAUGGUUUCAUCAAGAAGUUAUAAACUCUGUUUUAUAGUUUAAUUUACCUGGAAUAGGUAAACCAUAGAGGGUAAUAGUCCCGUAAGCGAAAAAAACGAGCUUCUUGGAUGUUAUUUCCGAGUACUACGAUAUAUUCAAGUUCGUGGGAAUCCAGGUGAACCAUCACCUAAGGCUAAAUACUACUUGGUGACCGAUAGUGAAGAAGUACCGUGAGGGAAAGGUGAAAAGUUCCCCCGUUAGGGAAGUGAAAUAGUACCUGAAACCGUAUAGCCUACAAGCUGUGGAAGCGCUAUGUUCCCAAUGCAAAUUGGGAAAAGGCGUAACUGCGUGCCUUUUGUUUAAUGAGCCGGUGACUUACUUUGCGUAGCAAGGUUAAGCAUAUCUUAUGCGUAGCCGUAGCGAAAGCAAGUCUGAAUAGGGCGUUGAGUUGCGUGAAGUAGACCCGAAACUGAUCGAUCUAUCCAUGGCCAGGGUAAAACGUAUGUAACAAUACGUGGCGGUCCGAACCCACCAAGGCUGAAAACUUGGGGGAUGAGCUGUGGGUAGGAGUGAAAGGCUAAUCAAGUUCAGUGAUAGCUGGUUCUCCCCGAAAUAUAUUUAGGUAUAGCCUCGUGUGUUUGCCAGCGGUGGUAGAGCACUGAUUGGACUAGGGGCCCUACCAGGUUACCAAACCCAGUCAAACUACGAAUGCCGUUGUCUAAAACACGGGAGUCAGACUGUGGGGGAUAAGCCUCAUAGUCGAGAGGGAAACAGCCCAGACCAUCAGUUAAGGCCCCUAAAUACGAACUAAGUGGUAAAGGAUGUGGAAUUGCCCAGACAGCCAGGAUGUUGGCUUAGAAGCAGCCAUUCAUUUAAAGAGUGCGUAAUAGCUCACUGGUCAAGUGGUUUUGCGCCGAAAAUCAACGGGGCUCAAGUUCGUUGCCGAAGCUAUGGGAAGUUAGAUGUUUAAUCUGAUUUCGGUAGGGGAGCGUUCUAUAGUAGGAUGAAGGGAGAUCUUAAGAACUUCUGGACGAAUUAGAAGUGAUUAUGCCGGCAUGAGUAGCGAUAAAACAAGUUAGAAGCUUGUUCGCCGAAAGUCUAAGGUUUCCUGGGCAAGGUAAUUCCUCCCAGGGUUAGUCGGUACCUAAGCCGAGGCUGAAAAGCGUAGGCGAUGGAAAGCAGGUGUAAAAUUCCUGCACCACCUCAUAGACGAUAAAGACGCAAUGGGAUAACACAGGCAUUAGAACCUACCACCGGAUGGACGCGGUGGGCUAAGCCCGACAGAGGAUGUCUCAGGCAAAUCCGAGAUAUCAUAACUCUGAGAGGUGAUGGGGAGUCCGUUAUGGACAUAAACUGGUUUGGUUGUUUGUCAAGAAAAAUCUCUAGCGAGUCUGUAGGUGACCGUACCGCAAACCGACACAGGUAGACGAGGAGAGAAUCCUAAGGCGCUCGAGAGAAUUCUCGUUAAGGAACUAGGCAAAAUGGCCCCGUAACUUCGGAAGAAGGGGUGCUUUGAGUAAGCGAUAUACUUACGUGUAAAGCUGAAAGAAGCCGCAGUAAAGCGGCCCAGGCGACUGUUUACUAAAAACACAGGUCUCUGCUAAGUCGUAAGACGAUGUAUAGGGACUGACGCCUGCCCGGUGCCGAGAAGUUAAAAGGAGGGGUUAGUCCCGAGCAAUCGGGACGAAGCUCUGAAUCGAAGCCUCGGUAAACGGCGGCAAUAACUAUAAUUGUCCUAAGGUAGCGAAAUUCCUCGUCGGGUAAAAUCCGACCUGCACGAAUGGCGUAACGAUUUGGGCGCUGUCUCAACGAGAUACUCGGCGAAAUUGUAAUACCGGUGCAGAUGCCGGUUACCCACAGCAAGACGGAAAGACCCCGUGAACCUUAACUACAGCUUGAUAUUGGGUUUUGAUGUAACAUGUCCAGGAUAGGUGGGAGGCUAUGAAGCUGGGACGUCAGUCUCGGUGGAGCCACCCUUGGGAUACCACUCUUGUUGCAUUAGGGCUCUAACUUCAUUCUGUGAAUCCAGAUGAAGGACAGUGUCAGGUGGGUAGUUUGACUGGGGCGGUCGCCUCCUAAACUGUAACGGAGGCGCCCUAAGGUUCCUUCAGCGCGGUUGGAAAUCGCGCGUAGAGUGUAAAGGCAGAAGGGAGCUUGACUGCAAGACACACAGGUCGAGCAGAUGCGAAAGCAGGGCUUAGUGAUCUUACGGUUCUGUAUGGAAAGGCCGUGACUCAACGGAUAAAAGGUACUCCGGGGAUAACAGGCUUAUCGCUUCCAAGCGCUCAUAGCGACGAAGCGGUUUGGCACCUCGAUGUCGGCUCAUCGCAUCCUGGGGCCGUAGCAGGUCCCAAGGGUUCGGCUGUUCGCCGAUUAAAGCGGUACGUGAGCUGGGUUUAGAACGUCGCAAGACAGUUCGGUCCCUAUCUGUUGUGGGCGUAGGAUAUUUGAGAGGAGCUGUCCCUAGUAUGAGAAGACCGGGAUGGACGAGCCUAUGGUGUACCAGUUGUCACGCCAGUGGCAUUGCUGGGUAGCUAUGCUCGGAAGGGAUAAACGCUGAAAGCAUCUAAGUGUGAAGCCCGCCUCAAGAUUAGAUAUCCCACAGAAUAAUCUGGUAAGGCCCCUCUAAGACUAAGAGGUUGAUAGGCCAGAAGUGUAAGCAGUGUGAGCUGUUGAGCUUACUGGUACUAAUUGGCCGAGGGCUUGACAAUAUUCUAU
rnacentral:rRNA from 1 species